ensembl:lncRNA
CACCUUCGAUGUUGUAAGCUGACAUAAUAAAAUAGGAAGCAUUACUUUCAGAGCAGCCUCUGUAUGUAGUAUAGUUAGUGUGUAUAAGCAACAAAACUUAUUUAUUUUUAAUUACAAUAUACAAGGGAGCAGCAAAGACAUGGUGGGAGAGCUGACCCAUCUGGUCAAAACUCUGAGGUUCGUAAAACAGAGAGACAAUUACUGCUUUCCUUUUUUAAAAAUGAAAAUGUGCUUAUUUUGUUUUGUGGUUUUUAAUUCUUUCUUAUUUUGUUUGGUUAUUUUAAGUUGUUGAUAGUCCAGUCUUAAAAGAACAGUCUAAACAAAGCAUCUGGACUAGAUCUUCCUGCUGCAGUUCAGCACUUCUUCCUGUCCGAAUCAAAGCCUGGUUCUCCAUCUUUUUAUUCCUCCUGUCCCCCUGGAGAGUGACUGUGGAUGGAAACAGAAAGGAUGGGUUCACAUGGGAGCCUUGCCUGCCAAGAGAAGGAUUACCAGGAAAUGGAGGCUCCAUGUGAGCCUGCAGGAUGGCUCUGAGUUGGGGCUCCCCCUCCCGGCUAAGGAUAAACUUACGGGAUCCUCACGCCCGUGCGAUGUUUGAGGCCCCCGGCAGUUGAGGUCCCUCCACCGGACUCGUCCCGCUGCCCCGGCACAGCAGCUCAGAGGAUGGCAGUCCCUGUCCUGCCCUCUUCGUCAGGACUUGGUGCAGAAGACAUGAGAGGACUUGGGAAAGGACAAGGGAGGGGAAAGGGAAGGGAGGGCUCGUAGGAGCCUUGGCUGUGAAAAGAAGAACACUCAGGAAAUGGAGGCUCCACAUGAGCCCACAGGAUGGCCGUGAGCUGGGGCUCUCCUGGGUAAGGAUAAACUUACAGGACGGGAGGAUCAGCACCGGCGUCGAGGCGGCCAUUUCGCGGGAGGUGGACGGAUCCUGGCGCCCCUGCGGUGACAUCUGGGGCACAUCCUCUUCCUCACUGGCCUGGCAGCAGUAGAGAGAUGGGCAGUGUGCCCCGAUGGAGGUGGAUCCACUUCCAUCAGGUCAUCUUCUACAGGUGGAUCCACCUCCAUGGGCUCUUCUUUGCUGCCAGGCGGGUCCACCUGCAUGGGCUCAAUGUCAUGAGCUUCUUCCAGCAGCCGCCUCUUCUUUAAAGGUGGCUGCUCCAUCCCGUCCUCAGAAAUAGCAAGAAAUAAAA